rnacentral:rRNA from 1 species
CCUACGGGGGGCUGCAGUGGGGGAUAUUGCACAAUGGGGGAAACCCUGAUGCAGCGACGCCGCGUGUGGGAAGACGGUCUUCUGGAUUGUAAACCACUGUCCCCAGGGACGAAAAUGACGGUACCUGGGGAGGAAGCUCCGGCUAACUACGUGCCAGCAGCCGCGGUAAUACGUAGGGAGCAAGCGUUGUCCGGAAUUACUGGGGGUAAAGGGAGCGUAGGCGGGGAUGCAAGUUGGGUGUCAAAACUACCGGCUCAACCGAUAGUCGCACUCAAAACUGCAGCUCUUGAGUGAAGUAGAGGCAUGCGGAAUUCCUAGUGUAGCGGUGAAAUGCGUAGAUAUUAGGAGGAACACCAGUGGCGAAGGCGGCCUGCUGGGCUUUUACUGACGCUGAGGCUCGAAAGUGUGGGGAGCAAACAGGAUUAGAUACCCCGGUAGUC